UAAGAUACAGUUAUGCUCAAUUCUACUUUCUCAAUACUAGCUGUGCGAUAAUACAUUAGUCACCUAUGAGUCGGAACCACCUAUAGUGGUCUGUACGACAAGACUGUGCACCUAAUUGGAUCCAAUGUGAGCAUAUGGUGCGGGGGGGCGACAUAAUUUACAGGCAUGUGCCAACUCCCUCUGGCUAAAUUGUAAUCACCCGAGGUGUAGGUUUAUGAGCUCAUCGUUUCUCAGUCACAUCUCAUAUAUCCGACCAAACAUGUUCAUCAC
rnacentral:lncRNA from 1 species